ACAUAAUAGUGUGUCUUUGGUUUUUCUCAAUUAACCUGUCUUCAGCCCACCUCAGAAGAAGUAAUUGAGGGGAUUCAAUCUGUGAAAAAUUAAAUGAUAUUAUCUGUGUUUUAGACCAUAUGAUCAUCCUGUAAAUGAAUGAACUCAUGAGUGAAUGAAUAUUUUUUUCUAACUAAAGCUUUGAAACUAUGCAGAAAGGGCUUUUCCCCUCAGUUCCCCCAUCUACUCUGUUGAUUUCUGAAUGCCUGUGAAUCCCAAGAUACUGUCAGAUUUCCAGGCCUGUAACUCAUUCUGCAUAAUAAGGAGCUUCAAGGUCAGGUUCUCAAAUAUUACUGGCAUGUUUUUACUUUAUAGUCAAAUAUUGUUUCAUCUAUUUAAUCAAGACAAAGAGUUUGUAACAGACUGACUGUAAGCAUAUUUUUCCAUGAAACCUUAUAUUUAACCUUUUUUCCUUGUUAAAUAAAUAAGUCAAAGAUGGGGCCAAAAUUGGCCUAGAACCAGUUAAUUUCCGCAAAGCACCCCUACUGGAUUUCACACAGCUUUGCCCUUAUCUUCUCAUCUGGCUUUCUAACUUCACCCUGAAUUCUGAGUCAGAGGGAUGAGAACCUAAAGUAAAACGACACACACCUUUUACUGCUCUUUCUGAUAGCAUCAAAUUAUUCUUUCUCUCAGUCACAUUCAGCUCA
rnacentral:lncRNA from 1 species